rnacentral:misc_RNA from 1 species
UAACCACUCAAGCUCUCGCUUGGUAUUGGGGUUCGCGGUUUCGCGGCCCCUAAAAUCAGUGGCGGUGCCUGUCGGUUCUACGCGUAGUAAUACUCCUCGCGAUUGAGUCCGGUAGGUCUACUUGCCAGCAACCCCUAAUUUUUUAA